rnacentral:rRNA from 1 species
GACGUAGGGCGCGAGCGUGUCCGGAUUUAUUGGGCGUAAAGAGCUCGUAGGCGGCUUGUCGCGUCGUCCGUGAAAACCCACAGCUCAACUGUGGGCUUGCGGUCGAUACGGGCAGGCUAGAGUUCGGUAGGGGAGACUGGAAUUCCUGGUGUAGCGGUGAAAUGCGCAGAUAUCAGGAGGAACACCGGUGGCGAAGGCGGGUCUCUGGGCCGAUACUGACGCUGAGGCACGAAAGCCAGGGGAGCAAACGGG